rnacentral:snRNA from 1 species
UUCCCUGGAAAGGGGCGC